AUGAGAAGCGAAAGAGAACAACGCCAUUCCAUUCCUCGCGCGGCGCGGCUUACCCCACGAGCCGGCCUGCGUGCUUUGCUCCCAAGAACCCGAGACCAUGCGCCACAUCCUUGUGGGCUGUGUCUUCGCGCGAGCAACAUGGCAUGCUAUUCUCUCCUGGUGCUCUCCAACUACGGCCAUCCCGGACGGCUCGGUUGGCUUCUUCGACUGGCUAGCUACUGCUCUCCUGGGCACUCCGACGCCGAAGCGGCGUGCGCUCGCCACCGUGGCCUCCCUCGUUGCGUGGUCCCUCUGGCGGCACCGGAACGCCGUCAUCUUCGACAAGAUUGUGCCCUCCCUGCCAUCGCUUAUAGUAGCAAUCAAGGAUGA
rnacentral:rRNA from 1 species